CACACACACGCACACACACAUACACACAGAGCUGCUGGAACAAAAAGAGAAGAAGAGAAUUGAGCUCAAAGAAGAACCCAAGAAGGAAAGUAUAGAAAUGAAGGGAAAAUUGAGGAAAUCAUCAAGGAACUCAUCAAUUGAAUAACUUUAGGUCUUGCAACGAGCGUUGAGCCGACUGUUUAGAGGUUUUCACAUCUUUUUUUCUUUUAAGGUAACUAAAGAUUUCAAAUAUCGGGACAUGAAAUUUCUUUCUUGUGCAGUCUUAUGAUUUUAUUUUGAGGUUGUAAAAUAUACUUGUAGUUCAGAGAUCAGUAUUUUUUUUUCCUUGUAUGUAAUAUGGAUGUAAGCCUCAGGGCAUUUAUUUUAUUUGUAUGUAAAUGACACUGUUGUGU